UUUUAAAAAAUUAUUUAAAAUUUUUUUUAUUUUUUUUUUUUGGUUUUGUAUUUCAGGAUAAGUUUUUUAUUUUUAAUUAAUUAUAAUUUAAAUUUAAAAUUAAAAAUUUUUUAAAGUUAUAAGUUAAAAUUAUAAUAUAAAAUUUUUUUUAUUUUUGAAAAAAUGUUUUAAAAGUUUAAAGUUUUUUUUUUUAUUUUUUUUUUAAUUUUUUUAUUUUUUUUUUUAAUUUAUUAAGAAAAAAAAAAUUUUUCUAUUAUUAUUUUUUUUAAUUUUUUUUAUUUUUCUAAUUUUUUUUAUUAAUUUUUUUUUCUUAAAGUUUUUUUUUAGAAUAAUUGGUAAUUUUUUUUUUAAUUUUUUUAAACUGCCUCUUGAUUAUUAAUUUUAAAGGCACCUUUAGCGUGAUUGGUCUAAGGUAGCAAAUUAAUUAGUUUUUUUAAUGGAUUCGAGGAUGAAUGUUUUUUUUUAUUUUUUUUUUUUAUUUUUUUUAAUAAUUUAUUAAAAAAUUAAAAAUUAUUUUUUUUUAUAAUACCAAGAGAAGUCUUUAGAAAUUUGUUUUUUUAUUUUUUUUAGGGUAAAAUUUUUUAUAAUUUUUGUGACCCUUUUUGGUUUUUAAAAUUUCUCUAGAGUUAACAGGAUUUUUUUACAUCGGUGUUGUUUUUUAUAAAUAAGUAAAAUUUUUAGUUUUUUUUCUUUUUAAGACUGUUCUUCUAUUUUUUAAACGUGAAAUUAGUUUAAUUCGACGUAAGUUAGAAUUGUUUAUCUGGAUUAAUUUUUUUUUUUAAAAAAUGUACGAAAGGAUCUUUUUA
rnacentral:rRNA from 1 species